GAAGAACUAUCCAUAACACCUGGAGUUCUUCUCUGAAAGUCUCUCCCUUUUUCUAAUUUUCUAAAUUUGUAUUAUAUGUAUAUUUCAUAUAUAUAUUCAGUAUAAUUGAUGAAGAGCCAACACCCAUUUGGAACAGAGUUAACUCAUGUGGUCUGAUUUGUUUCACAAGUUCAAGUGACAGCUCCACCGAAGAAGAAGAAGAGACUGUGACAAUUAAGGAUGAAGCAGAAAGCAGAAUGAGGAAUUGCUCAGGGAAAAGCCUGUUACUGCAACAACUCCGAGCAGCCCGUAAAGAGACCUCGGAGCUUCUUUGUAAAGCAUCUGCUCCAACUGAGAAACUGGAUCCAGAAAGUCUGGAAGACAGAGGUUCCUCUAACAUAAAUGAAACCCAAUCUUGUAAAGUGAGGCAAGAGACAAAUAAGGUGGUUCCCAGGAAACUAAUGAGAUUGGAACCAGAGAAGAAAAGUCCCCCUUUGUCAAGCUGUGGGGACAAUGAAGCUGACAUAGAAAAAGGAAACAAAAUGGAAGCUGAGAAGGUUCAGAAUUCAGGAAAUGCUCCAGAGUGUCCUCUAAUUACAACGGAAUUGCCAAGGACACAAGAAAGUGAAAGAGAGCUAUCCCAAAAAGAAGAGCAGAUGAAAGAGAGACAGAGGAGACUCAGAUUCCAGGAGCAGCUGGAGGGAUUGCAGCCUCAGCAGUCAGUGUCUGGGAAGCAGCCCAUGGCAGAGAACACCCCUGUUCUGUUCCACAUGGAAGCCUCUUAUUUGCCAGCUAUUGACACAUUGCCUGGCCCACAGAGUGUGAAGAAUGAGGUGCUGCUGCUGACCAUUAGGCUGACAAGCUGUGGCCAAGUGGCCACAGAUCAGUGUGAUGGGCAGGUGCCUGACAAGGUGCUGGGAGCAGCCAACAUCUACCAGGCCCUCGUGACGUGGCUGCUCUCUCUGGUGCCUCCUUUGAAAAGGAACAAUGGCCCCAGAGCUCCGUUUGAGGUGGUGGGGCUGCAGCAGGCCUGGAGGGAGGAAGGCUUGGCCCUCUGUGCUGGUCUGAUCCCAGCAGAUGAGUCUUCAGCCCAGAGCUGCCCCAGGACCCACGAGGCACAAAACACAGAAGAUCUACGAGGACCAUCUGUGUUUUACCAGAAGAUUUCUGCAUUUCUUGCCUCUACAUGGCUUCCAGAUGUUAUUUGGUGGAGGGCAGAACUGGCCAGUUGCUUCCAAAACCAGCCGUGUCCACUUCUUCAUGAUAUUCCCUCUGUCCUGCUCAGUAACGUUGUUGCUGUUAACCCCGACCCUCAGGUUGCCAUGGUGCUGCUGUUUGAGAGGCUCCUCCGAAGUCCCCUGGCUGCCCAUCACCUGCUGCAGCUGCUGCUCAGCUCUGGCCUGGAUGUCUGUGGCCUCCGCCUGCUCUAUCCCCAGCAGGAUGUGCUGCUCUCCAGCUCAGAAAAGCUACCUUCUUCCUACACCUCAGAGCUUGGCAACGUGCCACCAGUGCUGGCACUGGGUGUGAGAGGGCCUAGAGCACGUGGCACCUUGCAGGACAUCAUGGGGCCAUCUGACCCAUGGCUGGCCAGAGUGACAGACUGUGGUUCCAUCAAUGCCAUCUACAGCGAGAGCCAAGAGGAGCCUCUCAUGUACCUGCCCUGCCUGGACAGCCACAGGGAGCUGUGCCUCUGGUUUGGAGGAAGGGCUGCUGGGAUCCUGCACCUGCCUUCCAGCUCUCAGGGUCCUUCAUCAGCUGGGACAGAAGCAGAUGAAGAAAAGAUUGAUCUCCAGAGCAUGAUGCUGCCUCGACAUCCAGCCAUGCUUGCCUCAACUACCAAAGGGGACAUCAUUUUGCUGGUGUCGCCUGUGGUGUCUCCUCGUGUCUAUGGAAGGGUGAUGUCUGUCUGCGCUCGUCGGGGGUUUGUCCUGCAAGGCCUCAGGCAGCUGCAGCUCUCACCCCAGCAAGGCCUUGUGCUGAGCAUGACAACAAGGCAGAUUGAUGUUUUUUGCCCUGGAAAGAGUUCAAGCUCACCUGAUAGUCCUGCAAGGGGAGAACUCCCAGCUGAACCACGGGGGCACUGCCUCGUUUUGUUGCUGAGGAAGGAGAAUGCAAGUCAUCACAUUCCUGCCCUGAUGAAAGGGCUGAUGGAUGAGCUGGCAAAGCCAGGCCUUGGCAGUGGGCAGAGCAGCCCCCCUGUGACUGCUGGCCUGGAUGCCUCUGUCUGCUUCCACGUGGCUCCGUACGCCGAGACCUCGCUGCAGGCCCUGGGAGGAAACCUCAGCGCAGUUCCAGAGCCCCACAACAUUCCUCUGGAUUUUUUCUGCCAGCGAACGUACGCUGCUGAUCCCGGGAUGGAGCAAGUUGUGACACUGACAGUGGUUGGAAUGGAGACCAUGAAAAGUGCUGGAGAGCUCCUUCACCAGAUCCUGUUUCCUGGGCUUAACAACCAGUCUCGGAGUGCAGGAGUCUUGGAGGGAUUAACACAGUGUAGGGAGAAGCUCACCACAAGUGGAAGUCUCCCACAGGCAGUAAUGGCCUUGACUCCAGAGGUGACAUUCAGACAAGCCAUCCUCUUCUUCACAGAGGCUGAUUUUGUAGCCGAUGCAGAACACCGCCCUGCCAUGAAAUACCUGCCACCUCCUGGCAGGAGGUCCAGGGCUGAAGUGGGUGAGAGCUGGAGAGGCCGUGCAGAGUCCCUGUUUGCCUACCUGCACACAGGAGCCCAGGUCCUCUGCACAGUGCUGCUCAUCAAACCCAGGGUCUGGAGCCAGAAUCUUGCCAGGAUCCUCAGAAACCUAGACCUGGAAAAAUUCACCCUGGUCGGAAUGAAACACGUAGACCUGGAACCAGCCCUUGCUCUGGGACUCCUUCCUGCUGAAGUGAAACAGGAUCCUGCUGCUUUAGAAGCUCACUGUACCUACCUCACCUCAGGCACUGCUCUCGUGCUGUGUCUGCAGAGGCCAAAUGCUGUGAAGAAGCUGGUGGAUCUCCUGGGGCCAGAGGAUCCUGAACUAGCCCAAGCAGUAGAUCCCUGCCUCUGGAGGGCUCAGUAUGGCACCAACACAGUCCACAAUGGAUUUUAUGGCUCCAAAUCCUAUCAAAUGGCUGUCCGGGAUAUGAAGCUGUUUUUCCCAGAAGGGCUGUGCUGUGCCAAUUGUCAGACACUGGAGGAAGAAGAGAUUUAUAACCUGAAACGUGACCCCAUAUUCAGUCUGGAAGUCAGCAAGAAGCACAAGAUCCUAAACUGUGAGCCAGGAAGAAAACCCAGUGUUCUGGGCUCUGAGCAGCUAUGCAGUCCUGGUCAGCCAUUGCUGGACACCCGCUGCCAAAGCACUUGCCUCGUGUUGCCUGGGAUAAUCCUGCGGGGUUCAGAGCCCCCACCUUACGUGGACCUGCUGGAUGAGCUUCUUGGCAGAGGUUUUGUGGUGACUGGAGCUCGUCUCACCGUGCUGGACAUGCCACAGGCUCUCUGCAUCUCCAGGACACUCAGCAGGGCCAAGGGCAGUGUGGCAGCAAAGUGUUCCCUCCUGAAGGAUGGUUUGUGCCUGGUGCUGGCAGCACAGCGGGACAAUGCUGUCACCUGCCUCUGCUCCCUGCUGGACAGUGCCUGCUGGCAGAAGCAGUCCAUCCUGAACACUGCAGAGCAUCUCCUUUAUCCCCAGAAUGAGAAUCAGGCCCAGGAGCUGCUCUGCAGCCUUUUUGACUCGCUGACAUCAGAGAGCAUCCACCAGAUUGAAUCCCAGGAUUCUUAGCCAAGGCAGUCAAGGCCUCCAAGCAGCCUUGGAUGCCACUGUGGAGAUGGACACAUGGGGACUCCCAGCUCUCAGAACACUAAUAUUUGUUUGGGAUUAAAAAGCAAAGUCUGAAGUGUGGCAUUAGCAUUGCUAAGAUAAAUGAGAGUGGUGGGAGGAAGGAUCAGAGCCCCAAAACAAAUAUUUCUGAACUGUAGCCAUGGUUUCUAAUGGAAUGCAUUCAGAGACAGUCUGCUUGUGUCCAUGGAGCAAGGUUUGGAGCAUUCCUCUGACUGGGAAAAGUUCAGUAAGUGAACUUUUCAGCAGUGUUCACUGCUAUCUGUCUCUCAGGUUCUUGGGAACUUCAUCUUCCCCAAGCCUCAAAGACUUCAUGGAGAGAUUCAGUAGCUGCUGCUGCUAGUGUGUUCUCUGAACCAAAGACAAAACCACAGCAAAUAAAAUGGAAAUAGUCUGAGAGAAGGUUGGAUCC
ensembl:lncRNA